GCGACAAACGAGAUGCGUAACAAGGGAGAGGAGGUGAUGCAUCUUUGUUGAGCAGGCAGAUGGCGGAUGGUGGCGCUUGGUAGUGGACGUGUCGGUGGUCACGGGACUCUUGUGAGCUUAAGGUGAAGGGCAUCCAGCUGUUCACUGUCCAGCGUUUACGAGACUGUGUGUCCCCUGAAGGCCGGCACCAUCACCACCACCAUCACCACCACCACUGCCUGCUGAAGAGAAGGAAGAAGGAGAAAGAGGUUGGAGAAGAAGAAGAGGAGAGAGAGGUGUAGAAGAAGUCAAAGAUUUACAAGAAACGUGUAGAUUUAUGAGCAUGAUUCUACUAUCCACUAUGUAUUAUACAAGCAAGAAGGACGAAGAGGUGGAGGAAUAGCAGGAAGACGAGGAGGAGGAAAAGAAGAAUGUGCGGAAGGGGUGGAAGUCAGGUGGCAAACAUGGAAAUCUAUACUUGUUUCUACUAAGUAUAUAUCAUGUACUUCUGAGGGAGGAGAAGACUGAAGUAGGAAGUGGAUAAGCUGUAGUAGUAACAGAAGCAGCAGAAAUAGCAGGAGGAGGAAGAGGAAGAGGAAGAGCGUAAGACUCAGCAAGUGUGCUUUUACUGUUAUCUGUUUACCAGGGGGAAGGAGUUGAAGUAGGAGUAGGAUGAAUAGAUAGCAGCAGUAGUAGCAGCAGUAAUAGUAAGAGGCGGGAGAAGAGGAGGAGGAAAUGUGUAAGAAUCAACAGUAGUAAUAGUAAGAGGAGGAGGAGGAAAAGGAAGAGGAAUAUUCGUAGUGUAAGUAUCUGGAAAGUAAGACUAACCCAUUAAUUUAGUGUUAGUACUGACUUGACAUUAGUAGUAGUAGUAGUAGUAGUAGUAGUAGUAGUAAUAGUAGGAGGAGGAGGAGGAGGAAGAGGAACGAGAGCAGAACGUGAUGUUGCGCAAGAGUCAAUAGGGUAAGAACAAACCACCAGUUACUACGAGUACUAAUUAACAUUACAUCAUUAACGUGAGCUUCAAAUCACGCCUGUAACUCCCGCGCGUUCAUCUCUCUGCUUCAGGAUAUUAGAGCGCAUCAGUUCAUCGCGGGGCCGGGUGCGUCUGUCCGUCCGUCCGUGGGUCCAUCCGUCCGUCAGUGGCUUGUUUACUGCUUCUGCUCGUUAAUUACUAUAUUGUUGAUGGGCCUAAAAUUACAGCCACUCAUCAGAGCCAGCGCCUCGUUAUAGCUGGAUGAUGUAUGGCCGGUCUGCUUGCCUGCCUUCCUCCUCCCUCCCCAUCUCUCCGCUCCCUGAAUUAGUUAAGUUGGAGGGACGAGGAAAUAAGAGAAAGAAAAACGGUGGGAGGAUUAUCAGGGAGGCUAAAAAGAGUAGGGAUGCGUGUUAGACAAAGUGGAAAUACGAAGGAAGGAGGGAAUGACUGUGAGGGAGUUAGGGGAGGUAUGGUAAAUAGGGGAAAUAUGAGGAAGAAUGGGUGGGAGGACUGUCAGAGAAAUUAGGAAGGGUAUUAGAGAAGGUGGAAAUAGGAAGGGAAGAAUGGUUGUGCGUGCGUGAGUGAGUGGAGAAGGCAUGGUAAAUACAGGGAUGAAAGGAGGAAAGGGAGAAUAAGAGCUUAGGUGAAAAAAAAAAUGUCAAGGAAAGAACAAAUAAUAAAAGAAAAAAUGAAGAAGGGGAACUAUAGAUGAAAGAAUAGGAAAGGGAUUAAUCAGAAGUAGAGGAGGGAACAAAACAGAAGAAGGAGAAGAAGAAGAAGGGGAGGAAGAGAGGAGAGGAGAGGAACUACUCGUAUGACGAUAAAAAUAUGAAAGGGAAGAAUCACAAAUAGAAGACGAAAGAAAAGUGAGAGGAGUAAACGCGAGGAUGGACUGAUUCUCUCCUCACCCUCUCUCUCUCUCUCUCUCUCUCUCUCUCUCUCUCUCUCUCUCUCUCUCUCUCUCUCUCUCUCUCUCUCUCUCUCUCUCUCUCUCUCUCCCCUUUCCUUAAGCCAGCGUCAGGAGGCAGCUUUACUCCUGCCGGGGGCCUGUAGUGUGUAGGUGCCGCCCUGCAUGACCAGAAACAAGGUCACUAGAAGCAGGUCAAACACUACACCGGCCCAAAUGGUUCCUGUCUCCCAACACAUGACGAUUUGCUGGAACAAGAGGCGAAAGUUAAUUUAUCUUAACUUAUCUUCAAGCGGGGAUAGUUUAGAGUGGAUGAAAGAAGAGGAACCAAGAGAGAUUAAUCUAGGAGGGAUGAAAGAAUGGGAAUCGAGAGAGAGAAUAGUCUAGGAGGUUAUGAAAAAGAGAGGAAUCAAGAGAGAGGAGUCUAGAGAGAAAGCCGAGGAG